CCUACGGGAGGCAGCAGUAAGGAAUAUUGGUCAAUGGACGAAAGUCUGAACCAGCCAUGCCGCGUGAAGGAUGACGGCCCUCUGGGUUGUAAACUUCUUUUAUCUGGGACGAAAAAAGGGUAUUCUUACUCACUUGACGGUACCAGAGGAAUAAGCACCGGCUAACUCCGUGCCAGCAGCCGCGGUAAUACGGAGGGUGCAAGCGUUAUCCGGAUUUACUGGGUUUAAAGGGUGCGUAGGUGGGUUGGUAAGUCAGUGGUGAAAUCUCCGAGCUUAACUCGGAAACUGCCAUUGAUACUAUCAAUCUUGAAUACUUUGGAGGUAAGCGGAAUAUGUCAUGUAGCGGUGAAAUGCUUAGAUAUGACAUAGAACACCAAUUGCGAAGGCAGCUUACUACACAGUCAUUGACACUGAGGCACGAAAGCGUGGGGAUCAAACAGGAUUAGAUACCCUGGUAGUCCACGCCCUAAACGAUGGAUACUCGACAUCAGCGAUACACUGUUGGUGUCUGAGCGAAAGCAUUAAGUAUCCACCUGGAAGUACGAUCGCAAGAUUGAAACUCAAAGGAAUUGACGGCUGAGAGAGCGAGACGACGACGAGGGAGGAGG
rnacentral:rRNA from 1 species